CUAUUCACACCUCACUCAUCUAUUCCUAAUUUAUCUUGCAUUUCAUCCACCGACGCCUCUCCUCUUUCCCAGCGCUCCUGCAUGCAGCUGCUCUCUCUCUCUCUCUCCCACCGCCGCUGAUCCUCCUCUCCUCAGCGCUCCUGCCUGAGCUGCUCUCUGUCGCCCCUUCUCUCUCUCUUUCUCUCUCUCUCUCUAUCCCCCUCUCUCUCCCGCAGCUUGCAUCUCUCCCUCUCUAUCCUGCCCUCUCUCCCUUCCUAUCCCUCUCUCUGUACCUAGAUCACAUCUCUCUUAGAUCCGCUCGUUUGAAGGUUUGAUCUAUCUAAUUUGACCUUUUGGGAUUCUCUAGUAUCUGUGAUAUGUUGUUUAUGGUUUCUGAGCUUAUUCAUCCGCAGGAUUUUUUCAGAUUAAUGUACUGGUAGACAAUCGAUUUGAACUACUCUUGAUUAAUUUCACUCGUAUCUACAGUUACUGAUCUAUUAGUACCCCGUGAUUUGUUUAUUGCUCUGCGAUUUGUUUUCCUCCUAUAAAUCCAGUUUUACAUUAUUUGACAUUUUUAUCGAUUUUCCCGUCGAAAUUUUUGAACUACUUCAUCCACUAGAUGAUUAGUUUUUUUUUCUUAUUUUUGAGUACGGCCACACUAUCAGCUUUGGUUGAUUUUUUUUGGUUGUUCUAUUCAAUACUACUAUUCUGUUUUCUAUUAUCUGUGCAGUUGUCUAAAAUAUUACCUAUAGUAUGAUAUUCAGUUGAUGAUGCACCACAAUAAAAUAAAGACAACACCUGCGUCAUAUCUUUUUUCUCUAUUAGUUUGUCUUUUGUUUUUAAAGUAUAAUGACUACUUUUGAACUAUACACACUGCUUUUUUAAGCAUUUUCGUUGUUAUAUAUGUACUGCUUCUUUGCAAGCAUUUUUUUUUUUUGCAGGUCAGGAUAUAUACUAUGGUGUCCACUCUUUUUUAAUUCUAGACGUUCAGUUGAGGAUAUAAUAUUUAGAGCUAAAUCAUCUUUUUUGCAGGUCUGGAUAAGAUUAAGUGUUGCCCCCUCCACCUCUGUCGUCUUAAUCAGAGAUAUUAGGGCUGGUGCUUUCCAACAAUUUCAGUUCUCUACUAUCAUCCAGGUUAUUUCCAACUCUUUUUUUAUACUAUAGUUCAACAUAUUUCCUAUAAUACUUAGCAUGUGAUUUUAUUAAAUUGAUAAAACAAUAUAAUGAUUACAAUGAUAUCUAAGGCAUGUCUUUAAUAUAUUUAUUUACUAUUUUUAAAUGAUAAUAUAAUAAUAUACAGCUGCUUUUUAAUCAUAGUAUUGGUUUAUAUGCAAUCAAUAAUCAUAUCAUUUUUGUAAGGCUGAAGAUUCAGUAGAUGAUGAUAUAGUGAGUUCACAAUGUUACUAAUAAUAUAUACCAUGUUAAUUCUUUCAAAAUGAUAAUAUAAUAAAUUGCAGCCAAAUGAUAUGCACGACAUUUCUAUUUAUGCUAAAGUGAAUGUUGCAUUUGAUCUUGAUUCACAAUGGAACCUCAUGCUGAUUAUAGUCUCCACUUUUCUUAGUUCAAGAUACUUGGUUACCUAGCAAGUGAAUGUUGCAUUGUUCGUUUUGACAGCAGCAAUAUUGUCCAUUUAUAUCCUAAGAUAUUAUCCUGUUGUCCUGCACUGUACCUCCUAAGCACAACAGUUGCUAUUUGAUUUUUUUAGGUGACAACUCUAUACUCUCACAGGAUAUCAUUGCCGAACUAUUUUUCAGCUCAUGGUCAGUUGAACUCUCAACUCCCCAAAAUGAAAUUCUUAGGCAAGUUUGUCAUCUAAGAUGUAAGAACGGUCUAUCAACUAAGUCCAUCUAUAUAAAAUCUCUCACUGGUCUCUGGCUUCUAAGUUGUGAGAAUAGCUAUUAUUCUUCAAAUUAUGUCCCAUUGUAUUUUUGGUCCUCUAGGUCAAACUUGUGAUGAGAAGCUAAUGAAGUAAUUCUGUUCUCUACUAUCUGCUAACUAAUUUCAACAGUUGCCACGUGACUUUGCCUUUACCCUUUCAACUCUUUAAUUUGUACCUGAUGUUGAUUCAUGGUUGGUGCUACAAUAAUUUACCUUUUAUCUUCCUGUAUGUAGAUCGUUGAAUUCUUCUAAGGUUGUUCCUUAUUCAUGUGAUGAAAGCACAUCCAGACUGCUGAUACGGAGUUUCCUAUGAGAGCUUUUGAGAUGCGGUUCAAUUCUUAGGUUCAUAUUAUAGUCGUUUUAGAACAUAAAGGCCUAGUUUAGAUCAAAAACCUUUUGGAUUUUGACAGUAUAGCACUUUCGUUUGUAUUUGAGGACUAACUACGUUUAAAAAAUUCGUCUCGCAAAUUACAGUUAAACUGUAUAAUUAGCGUUUCAAUUCUUCAGCCCAUAGCCCUUCAUGCUCUGUUACAUCCAAACACAGGCUAGUAAGAGUUUCAUGUAUGAUUUGUUAUUUUCGUUCAGGUUCUGUGUAUUGAUGUAGUACUAUACGUGAGCGAGCUCCGUGUCCGUGCUCCACGCCUCAACGUGAACUGUACAAAGACAAGCUUCGGCACCCUGUUGCAGAAACGAGAGAUGGAUGGAAUCCUCGUUGUUGUGUAUCAAUUAAUCUCGUUUUUGUGUA